AAAAUCAUUUCAGCUGUGGGUUGGCAGACUUAAUUGACAAUUUGCAGAUUCCUCAAAUGACUCCUUGCAUUACCAUCACUGACCUUCUGCAUCAUUGUCUGGGGCAUGCUGAGCAGCCAGAAAUGGAGUAAAGUGAACCAGAAAGCAAAUAUCCAGUCCCUUCCCAAUGAGAGACCUAUAGAAGAUGCAGAAAGGAGGGAAAGAAGAGUAUAUCCUGAAAUUUAAGAUUGGUUGUUUCUAAACUCUUCAAUUGUUCCUAAGCUAACUCAUGAGGAGGGAGCUGGUGGCUGCCCGCUCCCUGUCCCCACCUAACAAGGCAUUCCAAGGUCGCUGGAAUCCAUCUCCCUUCAUCCUCUGCUGCAUAGAAGUUGUGGUUUUGGGUUUAUGUAUGUUAGAACACAGGAAGAACCAGAGACCUGAGUGUUUCCGCAACUUUUCUUCAAGCAACAAGCAACUUGUAGAUUGCUUAAUAAAGCUGUAUUUUGGUAUACCAGUCUUUCAGAAAUUAAAUUGAUUACAUGUGCAUCAGUGACAGCUCUUCCUCAGCCACAAUUAUCACAGUGGAUCCACUUGAAAAAUACCUGGAAAAUUCAUUUCGGGGUGUUACAGCAAGCCACUGACAAUAUGUGGUGCUUAAGUCUCUUUAGUUACUUGUUAACUGAUUUAAUUUAUCCAAGGAUCAUAGAAUGAUGGUACAGGAUAGAAGCGGAGCUAAGCAUGAAGGCCAAGGACUAUUGCAGAGACUGUGCUGUACAAUUUCAUAUUAUGCUACUUAAAAUUGUCAGGAGGCAAAAUCUUGCAUUUGCAGGAAAAUAGCAAUAGUGCAAUAGCUUUUUCCCUACACAGCAUCCAUAUUUUUACAUCUGAAAAUAUGAGAAGGUUGCUAUAUUACUUCCAGAUGUAGCAGCAAUAGAGUUUUGGUUUGGUUUGGUUUGUCUGACAGAAAUACCUUGAAAUUCAAAUGAAGCAAAAAUUCUAAAAAAAAAAAAAAAAUCCAAAGAUCUGACACUGGGGUAGAAUUUAAGAUUUGGAAGAAGAGAGAUUUCAAAAAGGACUUGUAUUCUAGGCAGAAUGAAAGAACUAUGGAGUCAGAUGAAGGCAAAAAGAGAAGUUAUAGCUGACAGCGAGGAUAAAAAUGGAAGGAUUUAUUCUUUGUGCAAACAGUCAAGCAAGAAGCAUUGUUUUGGUAGGAAAUGAAUGGGACAAAUCUGACCUUCAUUAUCUCAGCUCCUCUGAACUAUUAAAUAGGGCAAGUACUGAAAUAAGGAUUGAGGCUAUUUUUGCUGCCACUGGAGCAGCACAAAACAAUCUUAGCAGGGACUGAGAUGCAGCCGUAGGACUCUGUUAAUUAAAAUAGCCACUAUUAAGAUAUUUACUGUCCCUAAUAAUCAGAGCUAUGCAAUUUGUACUACUGAGUAAACAAAUCAUGCUUUAGAAGUUCCCAAUUGGCUAUUACAGUCUAGUCUGUCAACUGUCAUUUAGUUAUAAAACCAAUUUUCCUUGUAGUUUAUUUGCAUAAACAACAUUCCUU
rnacentral:lncRNA from 7 species